UGGUUUGUGGAGUUCCCUGCUGAGGUAUUCUGAAGAAGGCAGCUCUGGGAGGUGUUGCCUAGCAGAGUGAGGAACAAUUUGAUAUGGAGGAAGAAACGUGCAUCCAAGCUCCUCCACAUCUCCCUGGCAUGCCGUCAGCGCCCUGCAUGACAGCACUGAGCCACGUCACCCCUGUCCCCGCAGUCAGCACCCGCAGGGGGGGACAGCUCCGGGUCCUGCCCUCGCCUGUGCUUGCUGGGAUCAGGAACCUUGGGGUAAUGACCUCCACUCACCAGCUUCAUCGCUAAAAAUUGUUAGGGCAUAUUUACUUGUUCAUGCUGUGCCAGACCCUGUCUCAUAAUGUUCACACUCUGCAAGCAUUGCGAGAGAGUGGCCCAUGCUGUGCACAGUGGAUGAUGCUGACUGUUCCUUUUAGCGAAGCUGCAAGAAUUCAAACAUUUGCCAUGAAUAUUCAUAUGAAUCUGAAAGCUGUUAACCCGGCUCUCACAUCUGCCUGGUGGGAGCCCUUCAGCGCUUAUGUGUUGCUCGUAUGACUCCUCGCAAGACAAGAACUUUAAACCUGACUGCUCAGAUAGUGAUGGGAAUCCAACAUGAAAUUGUACGCUUGGUUGUAAAAUCUGCUCUUCACUUCAUCUACCCGAGGAACACCACAUGACUAAGGUAGUCAACACAGUAUGAAUUUGCAAGCAUUUGCCAUUCCCAAAAGAUCUGCCAGCCAAGUGUUAUUCACUGAUGAAAUUCCCAAAUAAUAUCAAAUAAAUAAAUUAGAAAAUUGCAUGAGCUCCACAGGCGAUUCAUAAAGCAGAAGGACAAGUGAGAUUCAUAGCAUAAAGUACUCGUUCAGCUUUUGAAGAAAACGGCGAAAUUGUUUCUCAGCACAGUGAAUCAAUCUGAUGCAGCUUACUUCAUUAUCUGCUGUGCAUUGGCGGAGCAAAGGGAGCACGGAGAGAUUUGGAGUCACUUCUGACAGGCUCUCAGACAAAUGGAUAUUUGCUACUGGCAGACGUUUUUGUAAGUGGCAAAUUUGUCUGGAAUAGUUCUGAAAGCAGAUUUGGUUUUGAAUCAUGGGAUUUGCAAUAUGUCUUAUUUACAGUCGAAAACACCUGAAAUAUGAACCUGCUCCUGCAACAAAAGUUUGCUUUGCGUUUUCCCUUUUCUUGAACUCUACGUGCAGCCUCGUUCCCUAAGCACCACCGCCUACAUGUUCACUGGUACACUGUCCCACAGGUCUAGAACUGCUGCCUAUGGCGCAGUGAGGCUGGGGAUUGCCCAAGGCCCCAAAGGGUGGAAAGUAAAAAAAGUAAAAUUGCCAAAGCCUCUGGAUAAAAGGGAGAUGGAGAAGAGAAGAUGGGUGCUUUGCUUCUGCUUGUUUCUGACACAGGUUUAAUAUCUCUGCAUAAUAUCUCUUUAAUCCAUAUUGCAAACUACUAGGAACAUUUUCUUGAGAGAAAUUUUCCCCUAUUAUCAUUUCGUACCAUGUAGCAGUUUAGAUAGCAUGGGUUGAAGUGAUUUUUCCCCCAGUCUGCAAUGCAAAGCAAUGUGCUUGACUGAAAAGUUGUUGCUCGGAUGCUGAAUAUUUUUAAGUUGUGUUUCUUAGGGGGAAUUCUCGCUGUUCCCAAGCCAAUAUUGCUUCUCUUUGGCACAAACUGUAUUUGCUGUGACUGAAGGCAUGUGGCACUUCUGUUGUUAAGUUGUCAUCAGUGUAUCAUUAUUAAAUGAGUGACACCAUAAC
rnacentral:lncRNA from 7 species